UUAUAGGAAACUCACCCUGGGGUCUUCCAGUUACCACCUCAUUUUCUUUUUCUUCUUUCUUCAUGUGUGUGUGUGUGGUGUGUAAGCAUGCUCACACAUGUGUGUAAGAAUGUAGGUAUGUGUGUAAAUGUUGAGUGUCUUCCUCAGUCACCACCCCCUCCUUAUUUUUUGAGACAGGGUCUCUUAUGUUUACCUGAAGCUCACUGAGGGCCAACAAGCCCCAAAGACAUAGCUCACUGUAGCCUCACCCCCUGGCCCUCAGUCCAUCCUCUGCUUCAGUUCCCCAAGUAGCUAAGACUAUGGGCACACACCACCAACCAAAUAACAUGUUUGUUGUUUGUUCUUUAGUGUCCUGGAUUAUCUGAAACAAAAUUGGACAUCUGAGUGCUACAAAAUGAAACCACAAUGGGUAGAAUACAGUCUGACCCUCAGAAGGGGUCACUGACUCCUCUUGAUGGUGACAUCUCCAUAUUGCUGUGAUAUUUCUGUGUUCACUGAAGGAUGAAGGUGACUCUAGCAGCAAGUGAUUUUAGCCACUGAGCCAUCUUGCCAGCCCUUCAAAGACUUUAAUGUGACUACCUCAAAGAUAAAAGAGAAGAAGGGCUGUGCAGGGAAAGGAACAGAAAUUGGCCAAAAUAUAGCUGGAUGCACAUGAAACAUCAAAAGAAAAAUCAAAGGGAAGACAAAUAAUAUUCUGAAAAAGAAUAGUAAGAACGUAUUUUAGCUCAUGAGCUUAACUUGUACUGUAUACUUUUAAAAAAAUGAAUAUUGGUACAAAUUCAGGGUUAGCAGUAAGAGGAAGGAAUGCAUAAAUAGACAUACUGACAUAUCAGAAUUUACUAUACGCUUCAGGAAAACUUUUCCAAUAAGGAGGGAAGAGGAUGGAGUGUUCAAUCAGUGGCCAGCUGACCAUCCUUGGAGUGGGGAUUAGAAAGAUGUGUACCAUACAUUGCUCAUAUUCUCUGUGGAGAGGACCCUGAAGUGUUUGGAUGGUGUAUCAACGAGUCAGCAGGAAAGUCCUAGUCUGUGUUGCUAUAACAAUUGCCAGAGGAUGGGUAAUAUAUAAAGAAAAGAGAUUUACUUGGCUCUUAUUUCUGCUCAGAUAGCCUGGCACAGGGCUCUGGCAAAGGCCAGCUUUGAACUGCAUGAUGAUACAGUUGUGGAGGAGCAGCGUUGACCUCAGAGAGCAGGAGCAUGCAAAGGCAACAGGCACGGAUGGUCCGGUGUUGAGCGUUCUGUUCUGUCACCUGACGUCUGGACUCGGCUCUGAACUUCGGCGACACGAAGGAUUUCGAAACACCUUCGGCAGGAGGGAGCCCCCACUUGUAAGAAACUGUUCUGGGGAAGAAUGAUAGCUCCAGAUGAGGCAUGCAGAACACUGCAGGAGGAUCUGCGCUCUCCGGUUCUUUUCAGCCAAGUGAACCUGCAUCUCAUAUCUAGCACCUGGAUUAAUGUCAGUGCACAGUAAUCACGCAUGCAAUCCAAUGAUCUACUGUUGUAUUCUAUGAUUUUUCAUCUACUCACAGCAAGAAAAAGUAACAAGUGACAAGAAUAUAAAAGAUUAACUCCUUUUAAUAGUUCCUAAGAAGAAAUGGAAUUUUUUAGAUUUUACGUUUUCUUUCAAUCUUCAUUCAGAAAGGCAAAUGAGAUGGACAUCAGAAGAGGGAGAAAACAGGGAACAGGACAGGAACCUCUCACCGAGGGCCUCUGAAAGACUCCACCCAGCAUUGUAUCAGAGCAUAUGCUGAGAUGCAUAACCAAACUUUGGGCAGAGUGAAGGGAAUCUUAUAAAAGGAGGAGAUAGAAAGACCUGGAGAGAACAGGAGCUCCACAAGGGGAGCAACAGAACCAAAACUCUGGGCACAGGGGUCUUUUCUGAGACUGAUACUCCAACCAAGGACCAUUCGUGGAGAUAACCUAAGACCCCUGCACAGAUGUAGACCAUGGCAGCUCAGUAUCCAAAAAGGUUCCCCAAUAAUAGGACCAGGGACUGUCUCUGAAAUGAACUCAUGAGUUGGCUCUUGGAUCACCUCCCCCUGAGGGGGGAGCAGCCUUACCACUCCUGAGAGGAAGACAAAGAAGCCAGUCCUGAUGAGACCUGAUAGACUAAGGUCAGAUGGAAAAGGAGGAAGACCUCCC